GGGAAUUACAGUCCUCGCUGCCAUCCUGGCCUGCGCCUCCAGCUGUGGGGACCCCACCUUCCCACCCAACCUGUCAGCCAGAGUGGUAGGAGGAGAGGAUGCUGUCCCCAAAGCUGGCCUUGGCAGGUCUCUCUUCAGUACCUCAGGGAUGACACUUGGAGGCACACCUGUGGGGGCAGUCUCAUCACCACCAGCCACGUCCUCACUGCUGCCCACUGCAUCAACACAAACUUGACCUACCGCGUGGGCCUGGGGAAGUAUAACCUGACAGUGGAGGAUGAGGAAGCUCUGUGAAGUCCAGCAUGGUGUGCGCUGGUGGCGACGGCGUGACCUCCAGCUGCAAUGGGGACUCUGGCGGACCACUGAAUUGCCGGGCAUCUAAUGGCCAGUGGCAGGUGCAUGGCAUCGUGAGCUUCGGCUCCUCUCUGGGCUGCAACUACCCCCGCAAGCCAUCCGUCUUCACCAGGGUCUCCAACUACAUUGACUGGAUCAACUCGGUGAUGGCAAGGAACUAACUGAAGACAUUACUGCCACUGUCCCCCUGGAAAUGCCAUAGAAAAGAAAUAGUAAUAAAGUAAUUUAAGAAUCACA
rnacentral:lncRNA from 1 species